AUACGGAGGGUGCAAGCGUUACUCGGAAUCACUGGGCGUAAAGCGCGCGCAGGCGGCGCGAUAAGUUGGAUGUGAAAGCCUACGGCUCAACCGUAGAACUGCAUCCAAAACAGUCGGGCUAGAGUCUGGGAGGGGAAGAUGGAAUUAGUUGUGUAGGGGUAAAAUCCGUAGAGAUAACUAGGAAUACCAAAAGCGAAGGCGAUCUUCUGGAACAGUACUGACGCUGAGGCGCGAAAGCGUGGGGAGCAAACAGGAUUAGAAACCCUAGUAGUCC
rnacentral:rRNA from 1 species